ensembl:lncRNA
GUCAUUACCAGGGUUUCUAUCGUGCUUAGUGGUGAAAAUAGUUUUCAAUGAGUUACGUCUAAGCUUUUAUCGGUUCUGGUUUAGGCAUGCCAUCCCCACACGUCCCUCUGCUACGGCGGCCUCUACUCCCAAAAAGCUGUCCCCCUCGAGCCGCGGGCGUCUCCCCUUCUCUCCGUCUCUGCUUCUCAACAGGAAUCAGAGGAGCAUGAGAAGAGAGGUUCUCGCUGCCUGACUCCUGGUGCAUCAUGGGGAAGUGCUGUGACCCUGCCCCCUCCCAGGCCGCAGCCCACCCCUGUCCUCCCCGCCACGGACCCUCCCCCCUGCCAGCCCAUAAUGUUCCCGCCGUUCCCCUGCCGCCCCCCACGCACGCUACCCACAAUGCCCCUGCUGCACCUGCUCCUGGAGCAGCCCCGCUAUGCCCCGCCCCCACCACAGUUCCUGCUCAACGACUUCCUGCUGCAGCUGGGACACAGCCGUGCACAUCAGCGCUUGAGAAGGAGGCGGGUCUCUGUCUACCCCUACAGGAAGCUACUGGAGCACUUCCUGUUUGACCUGCAUAGCAGCAAACAGACAGAGGUGGCCAAUCAGAUUCUGUCCUCUGAACAAAUCCCGCCCACGAAGUGCAGAGUGCCUCAGA